GGCGAGAUAGCUCAGUCGGUAGAGCAAGCGGCUCAUAUCCGCUCGGUCGGGGGUCCGAGUCCCUCUCUCGCUA
rnacentral:tRNA from 1 species